UGCGGCGACUCCAUCCCUAUCGCCACAGGCGUCCGAAAUAAGGAGGAUUCCCGCCCCGACCGGCGGUGCGGCAGUGUGGAGACCUGUCGUAAAGCCCGCGCGGUUUCGCUCCGCGCGCGGCAAGGCGUUAUUUGCGGAGGCAUUGACGUCACGGUCAGUCAGAAAUGGCA
rnacentral:ncRNA from 1 species